AGAACAUCCGGUCGGGCCGUGUUUCAUAUCCAGGGGUAUAUAGUAUCUAUGGCUCUAUAUUGACCCACGUACGCGACCUUAGUGAAUAGUGAUGUACAGUUUAUUUUUAUAAUAAUUUUUUCCCUUCAACUUCCUGUUAUAAAUGGCUACCAGAUCGAUCAUAAUAUGGACCACUCCCAAAUCCUCUGUCAAACAUUGUCACAGAUUUUUAUUCACUAGUAGCUCAGUGUUUGGUCUGAGUGACCUUUUUAGAAAAGUUGUUUUUGGGAAUGAAAAUGAAAGUCUAUUGCCCUACAAGAUGGUAGCUCCUAAAGAGCCCAAACUCCGUCCAUUGAAGUUGAGCAGGAACGAGCUUGAGCUGAGAGUUAAAGAAAUGGCGACCACUAUCUAUCUUACCUAUCAGUGAUAAUGACGAUUGGACUAGAAAUAGAAUUGAUCAUAAUUUGGAGAUAAAGAGCAAAAUCCUUUACGAGUGUGAGAAGCAGUUCCAGCGACAGAUACCCAAUAAUGCUCUAAAAGGCAUAUCAACUCUUGGGGACAUUGUGUCAUUCUUUCACACUCCUCUUGCCCCU